rnacentral:lncRNA from 7 species
CCCGAUCUAAUCUACACCGUCCAUUGCUAGAUCACCGAUCCACGAAGCGUCUUCUUCCUCCGUCACCAGAGUGGUGGUGCAGACGCGACCAGGGCAUCUCCCUCGCCGGAGUUUGAAGACUUACCUAGGAGUACUCGAUUGAAGACUUACCUAGGAGUACUAUCGUCUGCAGCUCCUGGUUCACGAAGCGGUGCGGAUCUACGGCCACGACGGAAAUUCGUCGAGGAAUUGUGGUGACGAUGCGCGCCCAAAAAGCCGAGUGACGCCGCGGCCGGCCUCCACUUGUACGGACGAUACCCUACCCUUGACCGCCAGGAUCGGGACGACGGUGGCCCCCGAUUACAGGUACGACGGAUUUCCUCUUUCCUCUCACCAGCUCCGUUAUGUGUGUCUUCGUGAAGCAUCCAGGCGAUUUUUUUUAUCUGACACAUAAUUCAUGAACCAUCCUCCCUGGCUUCAUCCUUAUGUGUGUGAUGUCUGUAAAAAGAAAACAAAAGGGAAAAUAUCAUCCCAGCUCAUCCUCGCACCCCUCGAUAUCUCUCGUUCUCUCUUAUCCUCUCCACCACCUAAAGUUUCAACCGUCCUCAUCCUCUCACAGCCGACGCCAAGCCUCUUCCUAUCUUCGAUCCCAAGCCGCCUCGUCUCUAGCCGUCCCGUGGAGCACCAGAUGAG